GACGGAGGAUGCAAGUGUUAUCCGGAAUCACUGGGCGUAAAGCGUCUGUAGGUUGUUUAAAAAGUCUGCAGUUAAAGGUUGAAGCUUAACUUCAAAAAUGCCGUAGAAACUUUUAAACUAGAGGAUGGUAGGGGUAGAGGGAAUUUCCAGUGGAGCGGUAGAAAUGCGUAGAGAUCGGAAAAGAACACCAACGGCGAAAGCACUCUGCUGGGCCGACACUGACACUGAGAGACGAAAGCUAGGGGAGCGAAUGGG
rnacentral:rRNA from 1 species